AACGAACGCUGGCGGCAUGCCUAACACAUGCAAGUCGAACGAGACCUUCGGGUCUAGUGGCGCACGGGUGCGUAACGCGUGGGAACCUGCCCUUAGGUUCGGAAUAACUCCCCGAAAGGGGUGCUAAUACCGGAUAAUGUCUUCGGACCAAAGAUUUAUCGCCUUUGGAUGGGCCCGCGUUGGAUUAGCUAGUUGGUAGGGUAAAAGCCUACCAAGGCGUCGAUCCAUAGCUGGUCUGAGAGGAUGAUCAGCCACACUGGGACUGAGACACGGCCCAGACUCCUACGGGAGGCAGCAGUGGGGAAUAUUGGACAAUGGGCGAAAGCCUGAUCCAGCAAUGCCGCGUGAGUGAUGAAGGCCUUAGGGUUGUAAAGCUCUUUUAACCGGGAUGAUAAUGACAGUACCGGGAGAAUAAGCUCCGGCUAACUCCGUG
rnacentral:rRNA from 1 species